rnacentral:rRNA from 1 species
UACGGGGGGGGCUAGCGUUGUUCGGAAUUACUGGGCGUAAAGCGCACGUAGGCGGCUUUGUAAGUUAGAGGUGAAAGCCCAGGGCUUAACCCUGGAGUUGCCUUUAAGACUGCAUCGCUAGAAUUGUGGAGAGGUAAGUGGAAUUCCGAGUGUAGAGGUGAAAUUCGUAGAUAUUCGGAAGAACACCAGUGGCGAAGGCGACUUACUGGACACAUAUUGACGCUGAGGUGCGAAAACGUGGGGAGCAAAGCAGG